rnacentral:rRNA from 1 species
AUUGAACGCUGGCGGCAGGCCUAACACAUGCAAGUCGAGCGGAAGAAGGGAGCUUGCUCCUGGAUUCAGCGGCGAACGGGUGAGUAAUGCCUAGGAAUCUGCCUGGUAGUGGGGGAUAACGUCCGGAAACGGGCGCUAAUACCGCAUACGUCCUGAGGGAGAAAGUGGGGAUGUUCGGACCUCACGCUAUCAGAUGAGCCUAGGUCGGAUUAGCUAGUUGGUGGGGUAAAGGCCUACCAAGGCGACGAUCCGUAACUGGUCUGAGAGGAUGACCAGUCACACUGGAACUGAGACACGGUCCAGACUCCUACGGGAGGCAGCAGUGGGGAAUUUUGGACAAUGGGCGAAAGCCUGAUCCAGCCAUGCCGCGUGUGUGAAGAAGGUCUUCGGAUUGUAAAGCACUUUAAGUUGGGAGGAAACGCAGUAAGUUAAUACCUUGCUGUUUUGACGUUACCUACAGAAUAAGCACCGGCUAACUUCGUG